CCCCCCAUCAAACCUCUUAUAGUUCUGACCAGACUUUCUUACUUUCCACUUCACCACAUGCAUGCUCAUGUUGCUACCUACGCACUUUGUUUCCAUCAGUGCUUUAUAAAUGCAAGCUUAACCGAGCGAGGAAGUAGCUGGUGGUGACAUUUCCGAGCAAAUGCAAAUGCACCUGUCCAUCGUGCUAUAAAGCAGUGUGUACGCAGUGCGUGUGAUCUGCCUGUAACUUUGGGGGCUUUCUCAAAACCUUUGAAGUGGUUCCCAAAAUGUGGGGUGCAUGGGCCCUCCAAGGGGGGCCUGAAGUUAGAGCAAGGGGAGGCGGGUUGAGGGUGAGAACACUAAACAACGAACAGAGAACAGUCAUUAUUAAUACAACAGAUAUGCAGCUAACCUGAACUGAUCCAAAGAAUGAAAUUAAGCAUUGCUAAUCAUAAAACAGUACUUGAUCCAGACAAAUUGUAACCGUUUAAAAAAAAAAAGCUCUGAUCAAAUAAAAUGUAAAAAAUGUUUAGCUUAUAAAACAUUUGAUGAAAUUCAAAUGUAGGAAAUACUGUAAAAGCUGUAAAACAGGUCAUUUUUUUUCAAUUUAUGACCUUAGAUUAACUUUAUCAGUUUUACACCCUAUUGGUGUCAGUUUGACCCCUCCCCAUUGCCCCUCCCCAUUUCCUGAGUUUUCGGCAUCGGCAGUAGAGAGAACAAUAGAACUAUGGAGGUCUGAAAGAGGCAUCAUCUGUAAUCUACUGUAUAUAUAUAAAUAUGUGGAUAUGCUGGAAGACCUAUUUGUUGGUGAUUUUCUGUGGGGAGUUCUGUUCUUCUGAAAACCAUAUCACACCAAAGAAACAGGAAGUUUCAGGACUCCAGGGAGAAUACAUUAUGUUUCCAGUGCCGGUCUCUCAAUAUGGUGGUAUGAGGACUGAAGGAGGAGAGACCCUUGCAACUGUCUUUGGAGGUCAGGUUAGAGUUGAAGAUAUGCCUAGGUUUAAGAGUCGCCUGCGCUGGGACAGUCAGACUGGACACUUCUCUCUUCAUAACUUGACAGUUGCUGACUCGGGCAGUUAUGUCAUAGAGAGCACUGAGGGCUUAGAAGGAAAGUAUACUUUUAGGCUAACUGUGUAUGGUAAGUGUUCAUUCAUUAAAUACACCCACAGUUGUACUUAUGUUCUCACUAACAUCUAUGCUUCAACACAGAUUAAAUCUUCUUAUAUUAGGUAAAAGGCAAGUGCUCUUAGACCAACUGUGAGUCGGGUAAUUGGAUAUAAGGUCUAUAUGAUGAUCUGCAGUUGUAUUGUAUGUUUUAACCUUCUGAUUCUUAUUUUUGUCUUUAUUAUUAACUGUAACCCAAACAUUGAACCUAAAUUAACCUAACUAAAAAAACAAGGAAAAUGUGGAUAAAAUGUAAUAUGCCACCAAACAUUAGGAUCCCCGACAAUGUGUACAAUUUUAUGUUUUUGUCAGGCAAUCAGUCUAAUAGAUAUUUACUUAUUUGAUUUGAAGCUGGACAAAACACGAUUUAAAACAUAGUAAUGUGGAAGUAUAAUGCUCUCAGACCCAAAAUGCUGGUAAAAAAGGUGGGGGGUGUGGAAAUGGCUCAAAUAAAUAAAUACACAUUGUGCUGGACCUUAUAGCA
ensembl:lncRNA